UACGUAGGGCGCAAGCGUUGUCCGGAAUUAUUGGGCGUAAAGAGCUCGUAGGUGGCCUGUCGCGUCGGCUGUGAAAACUCGGGGCUCAACUCCGAGCUUGCAGUCGAUACGGGCAGGCUAGAGUUCGGCAGGGGAGACUGGAAUUCCUGGUGUAGCGGUGAAAUGCGCAGAUAUCAGGAAGAACACCCGUGGCGAAAGCGGCUCUCUGGAACGGUACUGACGCUGAGACGCGAAAGCGUGGGGAGCGAACAGG
rnacentral:rRNA from 1 species